AUGCACGAAGCGGGCGAAAGAGAACGGGACAAGGUAUGGCAAUGGCCGCAGAGGGCGUGUGUCUGUGAAAUAUUCAAAACAGAAGGAAAGUGCUCAGAUUCGAUCCUCAACAAACCUGGACAACUGUUCCUGCUCCGACGGACUGCAGAAGAGUUCGGGAAAAACCCACGCUGCAAGGGAGUGAGUGGAACUGUGUUGUCAAAAGACAAAGCUGAGAAGGUUGAGCUGAGCUAACGCUAAAGCUAGCGCUGUAGUAUAUGUGGAGAUUACUCUGCCGAGAGCCAUAGGGAGGCUGACGGUGUUGCUGCCGGAGACUCAACACUCGCCUGCGUGGGACGACGACAGGACCGUGGGGUUUCCGGGUGCGGACGGUCUGUGUUCUUGGGCUGAAUAGAGUCGUGGGGUCUGGAGCAUAUCCCAGCUGACACUGGGCAAGAGGCGAGGCAGGAGAGGUUGGCAGUCUACAACUCUACUCUUCAGUGUCUCUUGAGGCUGUCUGUGUAAGCAUUUGGUUCUCCAGCAUCGCCACUGAGAAUGGAUUUAAGGCAAUUGAAAGGACCUGGGCGCACACAUGGAGGUCUGCUGAACUGCUCAACUACUCAGCCCGACUCCCAGGUCAGUGAGAAAACACUAUGGCUAGUUGUACUCAUUCCUCUCUGCUCUCUCUGUCACCUCAGACUCCAGUCACUGUGCACCACUUCCGGAUCCCCACUCUGCUGCCUACUGAAGAACAUUCAUCCCCAUACAGCCAUCUCCCCUCUGACCCAGGCCUCAUCUGCCUGGCUACUUCAUCAUU